GCUCGUUGGCCUAGUGGUUAGAGCAUCCGCCUCGGAUUUGGGAUGUCGUGGGUUCGAACCCCGGCCGAGUCCA